rnacentral:tRNA from 1 species
GGACGUGUGCCCGAGAUUUAGGGAUUACUUUGAUAGAGUAAACUACAGGGAUUUAUUAACCCCCUCACUUCCU